GAAAAGGCUUCUGGAAAUUGAGGAGACUAUUAAUCUGGAUUGACCUUGUGUGUAGCCUGAAUGCCAUGAAUUCCUCUCCUGUUAGUCUCUGUAGGAAAAGUAUCCCAAAGUGGAUUUUAUGUCUUCUCUUCCUAGGUAAAGAACUGUGUGUUGUUGAAGACUGUUUUCUCCAAAUCCUCCAAAAUGUCCAUGAUCAUCAAGAGGCUGGGGAGAGGAGUGUGGAUUCAGGAACCUGAGGUAUCCAACACCCACGUUCUGGGUUUCUACAUUGAUGUGAGAUAAAAAAGCAUCAAGAAGGUAAAUGAAAUGGGCAGAAAGAGUAAGAAAAAUUGGAAACACUUGACUGUGGUUAGCUUGGUCUGCCUGGAGAUAACAGAGUGUAUGGCUUACAGUGGGAACCUUGACCUAACCAAGCUAUGACCUCUUUCUUCAUAACAAAAUAAUUUCCUCCAUGUGUAUUAAAGUAUACAAAUUAUGUACUGAAAGAGGAUGGAGGCUAUUCCUAUCAACAAAUCAAAUUACCCAGGCACGAAGUGGAUUGAUUUUUUUCCUUUUUCCAUGGUUGGUGAGAUCCCUUGUCAGUCCUUUGCCACACAACUUUGCAAUUAGCAAGAAACCUCGCCCGAGGAAGCUAACCGUGGGCCCACACUGAGAAAACGGGAUUUGCUAAUCAAAUGAGUGGAAGGUUGCUGUUCUCGAGACGUGAGGACUUAGGAAUGACUUCUCAAAAUGAUGAUUUUGUGGUUUAGAUAAGCUGUGGCUUGGGUGAUGAUCCCCAGGAUAUAUGAGUGACAUCUGGGACAAAGGUUGACAUCUGCAAACAGGCCCCACUUCUUCACUUACGAGGAGCCUCAUGCCGUACUUCUUUCUUCCUGGCACCUCAGGCCUAAGGUAAAGCUCCCAAACCUACCGCCUUCUCUUCUACUUUGACCCAGACUUUUGGAGACUUGAUAGAUAGAUAGACAGAUAGAUAGAUAGACAGAUAGAUAGAUAGACUGAUAGAUGACCUGUCUACAGUGGCUUAGGCUUAUUCAUGUUUAAAUAGAUGGGAGGCAGAUGGAGAUCAUCUCAGUAUAAAAACAAAAGCAAGAACAAAACCAAAAACAUGACAAUGACCGUCUGAAAUCGAAGGUCGGACCUCUGGGCGGAUUGUAACUUCCCCUGAAACAGAAACCACCAGCCAAGUCAAUCCCGAAGAUUCUAUGCUUCUCAAUUACAAAGGGCGAACAUCAGGUUUGUGAGAAUGAUCUAUUCUUAUUUAACCACUCAGUUUUAGUUGUUCUUGUGAUAUUUUAC
rnacentral:lncRNA from 1 species